rnacentral:rRNA from 1 species
AAUGAACGCUGGCGGCAGGCCUAAUACAUGCAAGUCGAACGGAUCCUUCGGGAUUAGUGGCGGACGGGUGAGUAACGCGUGGGAACAUACCCUUUGGUACGGAAUAGCCUCGGGAAACUGGGAGUAAUACCGUAUGUGGUCGAGAGACGAAAGAUUUAUCGCCAAAGGAUUGGCCCGCGUUGGAUUAGGUAGUUGGUGGGGUAAUGGCCUACCAAGCCGACGAUCCAUAGCUGGUUUGAGAGGAUGAUCAGCCACACUGGGACUGAGACAUGGCCCAGACUCCGACGGGAGGCAGCAGUGGGGAAUCUUAGACAAUGGGGGAAACCCCGAUCUAGCCAUGCCGCGUGAUCGAUGAAGGCCUUAGGGUUGUAAAGAUCUUUCAGGUGGGAAGAUAAUGACUGUACCACCAGAAGAAGCCCCGGCUAACUCCGUGCCAGCCGCCGCGGUAA